rnacentral:misc_RNA from 1 species
UGCUGAGGUCAUGCAGGGG